rnacentral:rRNA from 1 species
AAGUAGUAAAAAUUUAUUAAAACUUAUUUAUUUUGGCGGCAUAUCUUUUAUUAGAGGAACUUGUUUGUUAAUCGAUAAUCCACGUUAUUUUUUACUUUUAUUCAUAAUUUAUAUACCUCCAUCUAAAGAGUAAUUUUAAAUAAUCAUUCCUAAUCGUUCAUAAAAAGUUAGGUCAAGGUGUAAUCUAUGUUCAAGAAAAAAUGAGUUACAUUAAAAAUUAUUUUAAGGAUUAUAUCAUUACAAUUUUGUAUAAAAAAGGAUUUAACAGUAAUUUUUAGAUAUUAACUUAUUUUGAAUAAAAUUUAAUAUGUGC